GAACAAGAUAAACAACUGAAUAUCAUCAAAGAAAGAAAAGAGUAUAUUGAAAGGAGACUAGAGACACCAGAGUCUAAACUGAAAGUGAAGCUACUGACUAGAAGGAAGUUGAUAAAUAAAAUAUUCAAAUCAAAGAAAUCAGAGACUCAGUAUUUCCGAACCUCUCUCCUAAUGAAAGCAGGAAGAGAGGAGGCAUUAGUGGAGUAUAAGAAAGAGAUUGAGUUACUACAAGAAAAUAUAUCAAUAACUAGUGUACAACUGCUGAUGAUUCAAAAGGGAAAUAUUGAGAAGAAGGAUCAGUGGACACAAUCACCAACAGCAGAAUCUAUUUACACAGCAUGUAUUGACUAUCAUGGA